CAGGGCGGGACGGGACGGAACAGAUGUUCUGUGUUAUGUUUGGUACGCGCAGGACGGAACAUGACGGUUGUUCCGUCCUACGUUUGGUAGUGCAUGGACGGAACGGAACCAAAAAAUUAAAAUGACUAAAAUGCCCAAAACCCUUCUUACGGCAACACAAAACAUCGCCACUGCUGCUUCUUCUUCUUUAUCUUCCACUCUCUUCUCUCACCCUCCAAACCCAACACUCAUCACCACCCCUUCUCUUCUCUCACCCACCACAACCCGCCAUCUCCACCAUCACCGCACCUGGUAAGCGAGUUCUCCAGCAUCCUCAGCGACCACAGGAACCCUCACCACGACUUGGAGCUCUCCCUCAACGCUCUGUCUACCCAAAUCUCCACAUACUUGGUUGAGCAAGUUCUGAAACGCUGCAAAAAUCUCGGGCUUUCUGCACACAAGUUCAUUCUUUGGGCUAAAACAAUUCUGGGUUUUCGACAUAGUGCUGAAAGCUAUCACAUUUUGAUUGACAUUUUAGGAAGUAGCAAGCAAUAUGCUGUGUUGUGGGAUUUCCUCAUAGAAGUGAGAGAGUCCAAGUGUUGUGAUAUUGGCCCGGAAAUUUUCUGGCUUAUUUUUCAGGUUUAUAGUAGAGCUAAUUUGCCUCGCGAUGCCAUUCGAGCUUUAAAUCGAAUGGUUGAGUUUGGAAUUUAAGCCCUGUUCAUGAUCUUGAUCAGCUUCUUUACACAUUAUGUAAAAUCAUCGAAGCAGCUUAAUUGCAACUCAAACUCAAGGGGCUUCACUCUCUUUGCCCGGUACUCUCAAGCUCAGGAUCUUUACUCCUCCCGCCUUCAAGGUUCGAAGACUUGCCUAAACUGGUGGAGGACAUUCUCCAAACAUUAGUAAGCACAGGUCCACGUGGCGCUCUUAGGAUGGUCCAAGGUAUUCAGGCGUUUAUUGGGGUUGGUGGGGAGUGGCUUGCCGAUGUAUCAAAGGAAUCGUUGGCCGUAUAUCCCCGAAAACAUGGGGUGCCAUGGAAAUCUUUCUGGCAUCAAUUGCAACUGAAGAAUAUGAAUCAAUGGCAUUUGCGCUGAUUGAAAUGGGUGCUACAGACACAAAUGUUGAUACUAAGGCCUUUGCAAGAGACUUGGAAAAGAUGUUCUCAUCAAUAAAGACAAGCAUUAAAUUCAGGAGUUUGCUAAUUGUGUUUUACUUUCCAAAAAGGUUAAUUUUUCGGUCUGUACUUGUUCUGAGACUAUUUCAGAGCUAAGGGAAAUUCAUGUUUAGCAGAAUGGUGCGGCCAAAAGAUACCCUUUUUCCUUGCCCUUAAAUAUUGUGCUGUUUAAAAGAAUUCAAACUGAAAGAGGUGUGUUGAAUCGGAAGUGGCAAUAGCCGGAUUUAGAAUAUAGAACGGAAGUGGCUAAAUUAGCUUAUUGAUAACAAUCGCAUUUGCUUCUUACAACUCCUCAUGUGCAGGAUUUGGAUACUGAAGUAGUCAUAGCAACUGCCAGGGAGCCAUCUACGAAUGCAACUGCUGUCUCUGUUAAUCUAGUUGUUGAUGAGACACAAAUGAAUGCAUUUUUUCUCGAUGUGAUUCGGGUUAGUGAAUCAUAUGGAUUGAAAUUUCCAUGAGAGUUUGCACUUCUCCUGAAGCAGCUUUUGUAUUUUGAUCGGUACACCCGUUUGUUGGCCCCGAACUUGAAUAUGCUCCAAGACCAAAGGAUUUCCAUCGCUUUUAAUCGAAGAACCAACUACAGAAACAAUUUCAGAUGAACCUAAGAAGUGCAGAUGCAGCUUCUUGUAGGUUGUGUAAAUGUAAAUAAAAAGUUCUCCAGCAUUUGGAGUUACAUUUAAUAGGAAUGAUAUCGAGAACAAGAAAAACAUUGUACUCUAUACUAUACGAAGGCAAAGUGCAUAUCGUUUUAUGUAUCAUAUCAGAUUCUUCUCCUAUUUUAUGUAUGGUUUUAUGUCUCAGUUUGUAAAUACUUUAUGUCUCAGUUUGUUUAUUAAUAUAGGUAUCUUUCUCUUGCA